CGAACUUAAAAUGAAGGCUGUUACAGGAAUUGUUUUAAUCGCUUCAAUUGUUCUUUUGUCUCAUCAAACCAAUGGGGUUAAAACCAAUGGAGGACCUACACCCCAGGAGGCAAAGGCCAGUGUAUCCGAUACGAAUAUCAGAACGUUUGAAAAUUCAAGUGUAUUCGCUAUUUACCUAGGGGGAAACCGCGCUUUUGAAUAUUGCAGAUAAAGAAGAGAUUUUAACUUUUUUAGCGCAUUUGAAUAGAUAUAAGUACAAAAUGUCAAUUUUUAACAAAUAUGUGAGAUAUUGUGAGAUAUUGUGAUCUAAUAAUUGUUCUGGAAGUGGGCUU